AUUGAACGCUGGCGGCAGGCUUAACACAUGCAAGUCGAGCGGAGUGAUGGUGCUUGCACUAUCACUUAGCGGCGGACGGGUGAGUAAUGCUUAGGAAUCUGCCUAUUAGUGGGGGACAACAUCUCGAAAGGGAUGCUAAUACCGCAUACGUCCUACGGGAGAAAGCAGGGGAUCACUUGUGACCUUGCGCUAAUAGAUGAGCCUAAGUCGGAUUAGCUAGUUGGUGGGGUAAAGGCCUACCAAGGCGACGAUCUGUAGCGGGUCUGAGAGGAUGAUCCGCCACACUGGGACUGAGACACGGCCCAGACUCCUACGGGAGGCAGCAGUGGGGAAUAUUGGACAAUGGGGGGAACCCCGGUCCAGCCAUGCCGCGUGUGUGAAGAAGGCCUUAUGGUUGUAAAGCACUUUAAGCGAGGAGGAGGCUCUUUUGGUUAAUACCCAAGAUGAGUGGACGUUACUCGCAGAAUAAGCACCGGCUAACUCUGUGCCAGCAGCCGCCGUAAUAC
rnacentral:rRNA from 1 species